rnacentral:ribozyme from 1 species
GGCGGAGAACGUUUGAAAGAUCCAACAUAGAAAGAAUGUUUAUUUGAGAAAAGUUGAAAGAAGAGUUGUUGUUAUACACUCGUCUCUUCUUCUUCUCUUCUUCUCUUCUUCUCUUCUCUCCUCAU